rnacentral:rRNA from 1 species
GACGAACGCUGGCGGCGUGCCUAACACAUGCAAGUCGAACGAGACCUUCGGUUCUAGUGGCUCACUGGUGCGUGACUCGUUGGCACCUGCCCUUCGGUUCGGCAUAACUCCCCGAACUGCGUGCUAUUGCCGGAAAUUGUCUUCGUUCCCAAGAUUGAGCGCCUUUGGAUGGGCCCGCGUUGGAUUGGCUGGUUGGUAGGGUAAAAGCCUACCAAGGCGACGAUCCAGAUCUGGUCGGAGAGGAGGAUCAGCCAGCCUGGGACUGAGGCACGGCCCAGACUCGGACGGGAGGGAGCGGUGGGGAAUAUUGGAGGAGGGGGGAAGGCCUGAUGCAGCAAUGCCGGGGGAGUGGUGAAGGGGUUAGGGUUGUAAAGCUCUCUUAGCCGGGAUGAUAAUGACAGUACCGGGAGAAGAAGCUCCGGCUAACUCCGUG